CUUAGGAUGAACGCUAGCGACAGGCCUAACACAUGCAAGUCAGGGGCAGCACAAGGAGCAAUCUGAGGUGGCGACCGGCGCACGGGUGAGUAACACGUAUGCAACCUGCCUGUAAGCGGGGAAUAACCCGUUGAAAGACGGACUAAUACCGCAUAAUACUAAAUUACUGCAUGGUAAUUUAUUUAAACAUUUAUGGCUUACAGAUGGGCAUGCGCAUGAUUAGCUAGUUGGAGAGGUAACGGCUCCCCAAGGCAACGAUCAUUAGGGGUUCUGAGAGGAAGGUCCCCCACACUGGUACUGAGACACGGACCAGACUCCUACGGGAGGCAGCAGUGAGGAAUAUUGGUCAAUGGACGAGAGUCUGAACCAGCCAAGUCGCGUGCAGGAAGAAUGUCCUAUGGAUUGUAAACUGCUUUUGCAGGGGAAUAAAGUGCAUCACGUGUGAUGUUUUGUAUGUACUCUGCGAAUAAGGAUCGGCUAACUCCGUGCCAGCAGCUGC
rnacentral:rRNA from 1 species